UACGGAGGGAGCUAGCGUUGCUCGGAAUUACUGGGCGUAAAGGGCGCGUAGGCGGCACUGUUAGUCAGGCGUGAAAGUCCUGGGCUCAACCUGGGAACUGCGCUUGAUACGGCAGAGCUAGAGGAUGGAAGAGGCUCGCGGAAUUCCCAGUGUAGAGGUGAAAUUCGUAGAUAUUGGGAAGAACACCGGUGGCGAAGGCGGCGAGCUGGUCCAUUACUGACGCUGAGGCGCGACAGCGUGGGGAGCAAACAGG
rnacentral:rRNA from 1 species